rnacentral:rRNA from 2 species
GGGGAAUAUUGGGCAAUGGGCGCAAGCCUGACCCAGCAACGCCGCGUGAAGGAAGAAGGCUUUCGGGUUGUAAACUUCUUUUAUUCGGGACGAAAAAAAUGACGGUACCGAAUGAAUAAGCCACGGCUAACUACGUGCCAGCAGCCGCGGUAAUACGUAGGUGGCAAGCGUUGUCCGGAAUUACUGGGUGUAAAGGAUGCGUAGGCGGAUAUGUAAGUCAGAUGUGAAACCCCCGGGCUUAACCCGGGGCAUGCAUUUGAGACUGCAUAUCUAGAGUGCAGGAGAGGAAAGCGGAAUUCCUAGUGUAGCGGUGAAAUGCGUAGAUAUUAGGAAGAACACCAGUGGCGAAGGCGGCUUUCUGGACUGUAACUGACGCUGAUGCAUGAAAGCGUGGGGAGCAAACA